UACGUAGGUGGCAAGCGUUGUCCGGAUUUACUGGGCGUAAAGAGCGCGCAGGCGGUCGGAUAAGUCGAAUGUGAAAGCCCCCCGGCUCAACUGGGGAGGGUCAUUCGAUACUGAUCGACUUGAAGGCAGGAGAGGGAAGCGGAAUUCCCGGUGUAGUGGUGAAAUUCGUAGAUAUUCGCAAGAACACCAGUGGCGAAGGCGGCUCACUGGCCCGGUACUGACGCUGAGGUGCGAAAGCGUGGGGAGCAAACAGG
rnacentral:rRNA from 1 species